UUAGUACUCCCUCCGUCCCAAAAUUCUUGUCUUAGCUUUGUCUUGAAAUGAAUGUAUCUAGAUACUAAUACAUGCCUAGAUACGUUCAUACCUAGACAAAUCAAAGACAAGAAUUUUGGGACGGAGGAAGUACAUG
rfam:Hordeum vulgare subsp. vulgare, WGS project CAJW01000000 data, contig: morex_contig_49926